rnacentral:rRNA from 1 species
GACGAACGCUGGCGGCGUGCUUAACACAUGCAAGUCGAACGGAAAGGCCCUGCUUUUGUGGGGUGCUCGAGUGGCGAACGGGUGAGUAACACGUGAGUAACCUGCCCUAGACUUUGGGAUAACUUCAGGAAACUGGGGCUAAUACAGGAUAGGAGCUCAUGCUGCAUGGUGGGGGUUGGAAAGUUUCGGCGGUUGGGGAUGGACUCGCGGCUUAUCAGCUUGUUGGUGGGGUAGUGGCUUACCAAGGCUUUGACGGGUAGCCGGCCUGAGAGGGUGACCGGCCACAUUGGGACUGAGAGACGGCCCAGACUCCUACGGGAGGCAGCAGUGGGGAAUAUUGCACAGUGAGCGGAAGCCUGAUGCAGCAACGCCGCGUGCGUGAUGACGGCUUUCGGGUUGUAAACCGCUUUCGCCUAUUACGAAGCGUGAGUGACGGUAAUGGAUAAAGAAGCACCGGCUAACUACGUG